GAUGAACGCUGGCGGCGUGCUUAACACAUGCAAGUCGAACGGUGAAGGCGGAGCUUGCUCUGCUGGAUCAGUGGCGAACGGGUGAGUAACACGUGAGCAAUCUGCCCCUGACUCUGGGAUAAGCGCUGGAAACGGCGUUUAAUACUGGAUACGAGCUGCGAAGGCAUCUUCAGCAGCUGGAAAGAACUUCGGUCAGGGAUGAGCUCGCGGCCUAUCAGCUUGUUGGUGAGGUAACGGCUCACCAAGGCGUCGACGGGUAGCCGGCCUGAGAGGGUGACCGGCCACACUGGGACUGAGACACGGCCCAGCCUCCAACGGGAGGCAGCGGUGGGGAAUAUUGCAAAAUGGGCGAAAGCCUGAUGCAGAAACGCCGCGUGAGGGACGACGGCCUUCGGGUUGUAAACCUCUUUUGGCAGGGAAGAAGCGAAAGUGACGGUACCUGCAGAAGAAGCGCCGGCUAACUACGUG
rnacentral:rRNA from 1 species